UACGUUCCCGGGUCUUGUACACACCGCCCGUCACACCACGAAAGUUUGUAACACCCAAAGUCGGUGGGGUAACCGUAAGGAGCCAGCCGCCUAAGGUGGGACAGAUGAUUGGGGUG
rnacentral:rRNA from 1 species